rnacentral:rRNA from 1 species
UAGAGUUUGAUCAUGGCUCAGGAUGAACGCUAGCGGCAGGCUUAACACAUGCAAGUCGAGGGGCAUCGGGAGGAAAGCUUGCUUUCCUUGCCGGCGACCGGCGCACGGGUGAGUAACACGUAUGCAACCUGCCCUCUUCAGGGGGACAACCUUCCGAAAGGGAGGCUAAUCCCGCGUAUAUCGGUUUCGGGCAUCCGAGAUCGAGGAAAGAUUCAUCGGAAGAGGAUGGGCAUGCGGCGCAUUAGCUUGACGGCGGGGUAACGGCCCACCGUGGCGACGAUGCGUAGGGGUUCUGAGAGGAAGGUCCCCCACACUGGUACUGAGACACGGACCAGACUCCUACGGGAGGCAGCAGUGAGGAAUAUUGGUCAAUGGGAGAGAUCCUGAACCAGCCAAGCCGCGUGAGGGAAGACGGCCCUAUGGGUUGUAAACCUCUUUUGUCGGAGAACAAAACCCGGGACGUGUCCCGGACUGCGUGUAUCCGAAGAAAAAGCAUCGGCUAACUCCGUGCCAGCAGCCGCGGUAAUACGGAGGAUGCGAGCGUUAUCCGGAUUUAUUGGGUUUAAAGGGUGCGUAGGCGGUCCGUUAAGUCAGCGGUAAAAUUGCGGGGCUCAACCCCGUCGAGCCGUUGAAACUGGCAGACUUGAGUUGGCGAGAAGUACGCGGAAUGCGCGGUGUAGCGGUGAAAUGCAUAGAUAUCGCGCAGAACUCCGAUUGCGAAGGCAGCGUACCGGCGCCAGACUGACGCUGAGGCACGAAAGCGUGGGGAUCGAACAGGAUUAGAUACCCUGGUAGU